rnacentral:rRNA from 1 species
CGAAUGCUGACAUAAGUAACGAUAAAGCGGGUGAAAAGCCCGCUCGCCGGAAGACCAAGGGUUCCUGUCCAACGUUAAUCGGGGCAGGGUGAGUCGACCCCUAAGGCGAGGCCGAAAGGCGUAGUCGAUGGGAAACAGGUUAAUAUUCCUGUACUUGGUGUUACUGCGAAGGGGGGACGGAGAAGGCUAUGUUGGCCGGGCGACGGUUGUCCCGGUUUAAGCGUGUAGGCUGGUUUUCCAGGCAAAUCCGGAAAAUCAAGGCUGAGGCGUGAUGACGAGGCACUACGGUGCUGAAGCAACAAAUGCCCUGCUUCCAGGAAAAGCCUCUAAGCAUCAGGUAACAUCAAAUCGUACCCCAAACCGACACAGGUGGUCAGGUAGAGAAUACCAAGGCGCUUGAGAGAACUCGGGUGAAGGAACUAGGCAAAAUGGUGCCGUAACUUCGGGAGAAGGCACGCUGAUAUGUAGGUGAAGCGACUUGCUCGUGGAGCUGAAAUCAGUCGAAGAUACCAGCUGGCUGCAACUGUUUAUUAAAAACACAGCACUGUGCAAACACGAAAGUGGACGUAUACGGUGUGACGCCUGCCCGGUGCCGGAAGGUUAAUUGAUGGGGUCAGCGCAAGCGAAGCUCUUGAUCGAAGCCCCGGUAAACGGCGGCCGUAACUAUAACGGUCCUAAGGUAGCGAAAUUCCUUGUCGGGUAAGUUCCGACCUGCACGAAUGGCGUAAUGAUGGCCAGGCUGUCUCCACCCGAGACUCAGUGAAAUUGAACUCGCUGUGAAGAUGCAGUGUACCCGCGGCAAGACGGAAAGACCCCGUGAACCUUUACUAUAGCUUGACACUGAACAUUGAGCCUUGAUGUGUAGGAUAGGUGGGAGGCUUAGAAGUGUGGACGCCAGUCUGCAUGGAGCCGACCUUGAAAUACCACCCUUUAAUGUUUGAUGUUCUAACGUAGACCCGUGAUCCGGGUUGCGGACAGUGUCUGGUGGGUAGUUUGACUGGGGCGGUCUCCUCCUAAAGAGUAACGGAGGAGCACGAAGGUUGGCUAAUCCUGGUCGGACAUCAGGAGGUUAGUGCAAUGGCAUAAGCCAGCUUGACUGCGAGCGUGACGGCGCGAGCAGGUGCGAAAGCAGGUCAUAGUGAUCCGGUGGUUCUGAAUGGAAGGGCCAUCGCUCAACGGAUAAAAGGUACUCCGGGGAUAACAGGCUGAUACCGCCCAAGAGUUCAUAUCGACGGCGGUGUUUGGCACCUCGAUGUCGGCUCAUCACAUCCUGGGGCUGAAGUAGGUCCCAAGGGUAUGGCUGUUCGCCAUUUAAAGUGGUACGCGAGCUGGGUUUAGAACGUCGUGAGACAGUUCGGUCCCUAUCUGCCGUGGGCGCUGGAGAACUGAGGGGGGCUGCUCCUAGUACGAGAGGACCGGAGUGGACGCAUCACUGGUGUUCGGGUUGUCAUGCCAAUGGCACUGCCCGGUAGCUAAAUGCGGAAGAGAUAAGUGCUGAAAGCAUCUAAGCACGAAACUUGCCCCGAGAUGAGUUCUCCCUGACCCUUUAAGGGUCCUGAAGGAACGUUGAAGACGACGACGUUGAUAGGCCGGGUGUGUAAGCGCAGCGAUGCGUUGAGCUAACCGGUACUAAUGAACCGUGAGGCUUAACCUUACAACGCCGAAGCUGUU